AGAGCGAACGCUGGCGGCAUGCUUAACACAUGCAAGUCGCACGGAGGGAUUUCGGUCUUUCAGUGGCGGACGGGUGAGGAACGCGUAGGUAUCUAUCUCUGGGUGGGGGAUAACAGCGGGAAACUGCUGCUAAUACCGCAUGAAACCUGAGGGUCAAAGGCGCGAGUCGCCUGGAGAGGAGCCUGCGUCCGAUUAGCUAGUUGGUGGGGUAAAGGCCUACCAAGGCGACGAUCGGUAGCUGGUCUGAGAGGAUGAUCAGCCACAUUGGGACUGAGACACGGCCCAAACUCCUACGGGAGGCAGCAGUGGGGAAUAUUGGACAAUGGGCGCAAGCCUGAUCCAGCAAUGCCGCGUGGGUGAAGAAGGUCUUCGGAUUGUAAAGCCCUUUCGGCGGGGACGAUGAUGACGGUACCCGCAGAAGAAGCCCCGGCUAACUUCGCGCCAGCAGCCGC
rnacentral:rRNA from 1 species